UUAAAGAUUAUUUAAGUGUAUGAAUGCAUUACUGGGUAACUACUCCUUUGGCAGUUAGUAAGCCAUUUCCUAACACUAACCGCCAAGGGAGAUUUGCCCUGCAAUUCAUCAGUUGUACAUAUUUUGAUAUUCCAGCUUUGAUAUGAAUGGGCUUUCCAAUGGUGGGUGUUAACAAUAAUUGAACUAUCUAUGAAGUCUUAGUUGUUGAUUUUUGCAAUAUAUGUGUGUAAGCAUCCACAUGAUCUUGCUUUGUUCACACAUUGUUGUUUUAAAUAUAAUGUAAGUAUGUUUUGGUAUGUGUAGAAUACUUGGUUGCUUUAAGUAUAAUGUCAAGUAUGUUUUGGUAUGUGAUGUUCCUACUAAUCUUAUUUCUCUUUAAAUCUUGGAUCUUGUCGAUACUCUCAAGGGUGGUGG
rnacentral:lncRNA from 1 species